AGCUGGUCCAAAGGCAGUGAGUUAUCUCACUUGAUUGUUCAGUCAGUUACAGAUUGAACUCCUUGUUCUACUAUCCCCCCUUCUCACUACUACACUUGACUAGUCUUUA
rnacentral:Y_RNA from 1 species